rnacentral:rRNA from 1 species
UAGGGAAUCUUCGGCAAUGGACGAAAGUCUGACCGAGCAACGCCGCGUGAGUGAAGAAGGUUUUCGGAUCGUAAAACUCUGUUGUUAGAGAAGAACAAGGACGUUAGUAACUGAACGUCCCCUGACGGUAUCUAACCAGAAAGCCACGGCUAACUACGUGCCAGCAGCCGCGGUAAUACGUAGGUGGCAAGCGUUUUCCGGAUUUAUUGGUCGUAAUGCGAGCGCAGGCGGUUUCUUAAGUCUGAUGUGAAAGCCCCCGGCUCAACCGGGGAGGGUCAUUGGAAACUGAGGGACUUGAGUGCAGAAGAGGGGAGUGGAAUUCCAUGUGUAGCGGUGAAAUGCGUAGAUAUAUGGAGGAACACCAGUGGCGAAGGCGGCUCUCUGGUCUGUAACUGACGAUGAGGCUCGAAAGCGUGGGGAGCAAACAGG